rnacentral:rRNA from 1 species
GACGAACGCUGGCGGCGUGCCUAAUACAUGCAAGUCGAACGAGAGCGACCGGUGCUUGCACUGGUCAAUCUAGUGGCGAACGGGUGAGUAACACGUGGGUAACCUGCCCAUCAGAGGGGGAUAACAUUCGGAAACGGAUGCUAAAACCGCAUAGGUCUUCGAACCGCAUGGUUUGAAGAGGAAAAGAGGCGCAAGCUUCUGCUGAUGGAUGGACCCGCGGUGCAUUAGCUAGUUGGUGAGGUAACGGCUCACCAAGGCCGUGAUGCAUAGCCGACCUGAGAGGGUGAUCGGCCACAUUGGGACUGAGACACGGCCCAAACUCCUACGGGAGGCAGCAGUAGGGAAUCUUCCGCAAUGGACGCAAGUCUGACGGAGCAACGCCGCGUGAGUGAAGAAGGUUUUCGGAUCGUAAAACUCUGUUGUUAGAGAAGAACAAGUGCUAGAGUAACUGUUAGCGCCUUGACGGUAUCUAACCAGAAAGCCACGGCUAACUACGUGCCAGCAGCCGCGGUAAUACGUAGGUGGCAAGCGUUGUCCGGAUUUAUUGGGCGUAAAGCGAGCGCAGGCGGUUCCUUAAGUCUGAUGUGAAAGCCCCCGGCUCAACCGGGGAGGGUCAUUGGAAACUGGGGAACUUGAGUGCAGAAGGGGAGAGUGGAAUUCCAUGUGUAGCGGUGAAAUGCGUAGAUAUAUGGAGGAACACCGGUGGCGAAAGCGGCUCUCUGGUCUGUAACUGACGCUGAGGCUCGAAAGCGUGGGGAGCAAACAGG